rnacentral:rRNA from 1 species
GGAAUAUUGGUCAAUGGGCGAGAGCCUGAACCAGCCAAGUAGCGUGCAGGAAGACGGCCCUAUGGGUUGUAAACUGCUUUUAUACGGGGAUAAAGUGAGGGACGUGUCCCUUAUUGUAGGUACCGCAUGAAUAAGGACCAGCUAAUUCCGUGCCAGCAGCCGCGGUAAUACGGAAGGUCCGGGCGUUAUCCGGAUUUAUUGGGUUUAAAGGGAGCGCGGGCGGGAGGUUAAGCGUGCCGUGAAAUGUACAGGCUCAACCGGUGAGUUGCGGCGCGAACUGGCUUUCUUGAGUGAGUUCGAUGUUGGCGGAAUUCGUGGUGUAGCGGUGAAAUGCUUAGAUAUCACGAAGAACUCCGAUUGCGAAGGCAGCCAACAAGGCCUUUACUGACGCUAAAGCUCGAAGGUGCGGGUAUCGAACA